rnacentral:misc_RNA from 1 species
CUUAGGUCACCUCUAAACACGAGGAGGCAAUAGAAUUUGUCAUGCAAUGUGUCCUCGUGGGCUCAGUCUUGUCAUUCUCCUGCUUUGAUUAGGGCCGAAGUACCUAUGACAAUUGACAACCGGCUGUUGUUGUAGUUGAUGUAGUUUUUCAUAUUUUCUUGUUUAACAAAAAAGUCCAGGAAAUGCAAGCACUGUAAACAGGUUAUGAGGGGAGGUUAUGAGGGGAAGAUUGGCCUUAUUGUUGUCGGUCCACCGACACUGAUUCUUGCAAUAGAUUAGGGACAUCUUGGUCUUUUCAUGGAACAAAACCUUUGUUGUCUUUCAGCAUCUUGUCAUUUAUAUAUGAAUAAGGGUGCAGCCAAAAGGCAUAUAUCUGUAGGACCUAAAAAGUAGUUCUCUUGUGACCUUAUUUGGUUUGACUGUUAGGGCAAAGCUAAAUUCUUUUCCUGUCAAAUCUCCAGGAGUACUCACCUCACAUGUAUAUAUAAAAUCACACUUAUUACACUUGAAACCUUAGAUCAAGGGCAUUGAUGGCAUUUGGUGACAUCAAAUGUUACCUUUUCAUUGUAUUCAACUUAAUUUCUCGGCAUCAAAUGAAAGAUUUGUGCUUUUUUAUGAUAUAUGAUACUAUGGGUUCCUCAUAGGUUUGAAAAGCCCAAGGUCAAAAGAAUUGGCAUUGCACUAUGAGAUCUAGAGCUUUGUGCUUCUUGGUAUCUUUAGACUUUAUUUUUAUGCAUCCCAUACAUAUUAAAUCUUUCUUUGAUCUUAUGCGCUUGCCAUUUUUGGUUUUUGUUAUUUUAACUGAAA